CGUCAUAAUUCUGCGCCACUCCCGCACUGUGAUUCGACUGGAGAAAGGAUAAAGUGUCCAAACACAGAGGAAAAACUCCUGCUGAAGCGACUGAUCUCCACACAGUUAUAAAGAUGGCGUUUAUUAAAGAGGAGAGUGAAGAUGUGAAGAUUGAAGAAACAUUCACAGUCAAACAUGAAGAUCCGCUGGAACAAACAGCCCUGACCCACCAAGCAAAGUUACGUCCAAAAGACGUAUUUUCUACGUCUCUGUCAGACGUUGAAAUUACGUCCUCUGAAGAGCCAGAAUGAAAGUUUUUAUGACGUCUUUUAUUGACGUCUUUUCGACGUCUUUUUUCGACGUCUUUUCGCCGUCUUUUUGACGUCCUUUCGCAGUAUUUUUGACGUCUUUUUUUCUCUAUUUACUUUUAUUUAUUUGUAUUAUGUAUUUUUGUGAUUCUUUUGAAUGACUUUAACACCCACCGGACAAAUAAACAGACAGUGCACAUUAAAUUGAAACAUAUUUAUUUAAAGAAAAAACAAACAAUCAAAUUCACAAUAAGACCAGAAACUUGCAUUAAAGGGACAG